AGAGGAGCAAGGAGGGGUGAAACCCUAACUUCACAAAAUCCACAAGAGUUACUACAAAUCUUAAGGAAAUCGAAAGAAUAAUCAUCAAAUUCUAAGCUCCUACACCUGUUCUUUGAAGUGGAUAGGAAACCAAAAUUUACAUGGACUCAAGUAUGGAAGGCUAUCGGAUUAAGAGGAAAUGAGGAAGUUAUGCACAAACUUGGACGCACGAGGUGAACCCUCAAUUUUGGCGACUUGGAGAAUCGGAGCGAGCGCGUGUUCAUGUUAUGCGAUACCAAACGCUUCCGCUAGUUUGUUCAAAUGUUUUCGAUCCAAAAUUUGUUGUACUGGUUUUUAGUAGUAUUUUUUUUGAACGAAUUGUAGAAUUGUAUCUAGUUUGUUUAUGUUUAAAACAGGGGUAUGCUCGUUU